rnacentral:lncRNA from 1 species
UUUCAUACUGCUGUUGAUGAUGUGAAUUUUGGAAAUAUUCUCCCCUAUUGGGUCUUUCUCCAUGACAGAUGAUGUCCUUUGGCUUCGGUUUUUUGCCUAAGAACUGUAAGUGGUGCUUGCUAGCCCUACUAAGAAUCCUGCCAUUGUUGCAAAUUUCAGAAAAAAGGCUGGAGUGCAGUGGUGCACACGCCUCACACUGUGACACAGCGGGAGAGCCCAGAGCGACAGCUGUUGGAAUGACUGCACUCUUCCUGCUCAAGUCUGACCUUUCCAAGGGUCUCACUCUGUCACCCAGGUUGGAGUAAAGUGGUAUGAUCAUGGCUCACUGCAGCCUCGAACUCCUGGGCUCAAGCAAUCCUCCUGCCUCAGCCUCCUGAGUAGCUGGGACUACAGCCUUUGUCCUAUGUCUGGAGACUUCUUGGAAGCUGGAGCACACAAAUAGCUACAGCAAACUUGAGGAAUGGGCAUGAAUAGACUGGCUUCGGGGAACCUGCCAGCUUGGCCGUGUGGCCAAGGUAAUAGGCAAGCCAAGGCAGAGCUAGAGCUCAGAGCUGGAGGGGAAAUUAAAGCAGCAAAUGUAGAAACAUUAAGCCUGAAGAGGCGACGACGUUGAAUUCUAAAAUGCAGGCCAAAGCUCAGACUGCAAGCUGUCUGGCUGCUCCGGGUGUGCCCAGAAGUCAAAGUCCAGCAGGGGCAAAGGUGGAGGUGUGGUCCUGCACGUGGGGUGUUGGGGGGAUGUGGAAGAGGAGGUGCUUUAAGAUCCAGAGAUUCCAGCUGCCCUGGUGCACCCUUGGAAGAAUAAAAGGCUAGGAACUGGACAAGUCAGGCUCGAGUCCAAGCUGCCUGAGGAAUCGGGGAAAGAAUGGAGCUCAGAGUGGGAGGUCAGGGCAGUAUUUAAAAAUCCAGGAUAGCAGCAAAGCUGGCGGUGGCCCCUGACUCUGGUAAGGGCAGCCUGCAGCACCAUGCCAAGGGGGGCCUGACUGAUCAUGCCCUGCAUUUGCAAACAAGGAUUAGUAGGGUAUGAGUAGGAUUCUGCUGGUGCCUGGGAAGGCAGUGCCAUCUACAACUUUACAAAGUUUUAACAAAGGCCUGAAGGACACAACCUUCCCCAAAGUCCUGACGUCGCUGUUUGCUGGCAACAAAUAGAGUCAAAAGAAGAGAGGCACAGAAUGUGCCAGGGGUGUGCUGCGUACAGCCCCGAUGACCACAAGGCCUUCUUGGGUCAAGUUCUGCCAUCUCUGGUUAAGAUGGGCUCACCCUCUAGGACCCUGAUUGAGUCCUCGGACCACCAAGAGUGCCCCACCAAGAGCCUCCCUCUUCUGGUGACUCGUGCCUGCUUCCCGUGGAGAGCUCCAGAAGGGAGGAAACUGUGAGGAGGUGGAGAACGUGGCAGGGAUCCUAACUUUCUUACUGAAGGAAGUUCUUCACAAGUACCCAUCUGCCUUCAGGGAAGAAAACAUAACUCAUUUUGGUCUUUCAAAUUCAGUUCUCAAAACCAAAUCCUGUUGUCAGCAAUCUGUGUCCCAACGCCUUCUUCAGCAACAGCAUUUUCCCUGUGGAAUUAGUUUCCAAUGUUCUUUCUUAAAUAAACCACUGAAGAUUAAAAGGAAUCCAGAUACCCACCA